ensembl:lncRNA
GUUUGAGGGUGUUUUGCGGAUUGCAGUGUUAUGUGGUGGGUUGUGGUGUUUUGUGGUGGUUUAAUGGUGUUUUGUAGUAGUUUGAUGGUGUUAUGUGGUUGGUUGUGGUGUUGUGUGGUGGUUUGUUGUGGUGUUGUGUGGUGGUUUGUUGUGGUUUAAUGGUGUUUUGUUGUGGUUUAAUGGUGUUAUGUGGUUGGUUGUGGUGUUGUGUGGUGGUUUGUUGUGGUGUUAUGUGGUGGGUUGUGGUGUUGUGGUGUUAUGUGGUGGGUUGUGGUGUUGUGUGGUGGUUUGUUGUGGUUUAAUGGUGUUUUGUUGUGGUUUAAUGGUGUUAUGUGGUUGGUUGUGGUGUUGUGUGGUGGUUUGUUGUGGUGUUGUGUGGUGGGUUGUGGUGUUAUGUGGUGGGUUGUGGUGUUAUGUGGUGGGUUGUGGUGUUGUGUGGUGGGUUGUGGUGUUGUGUGGUGGUUUGUUGUGGUUUAAUGUUGUUUUGUUGUGGUUUAAUGGUGUUAUGUGGUUGGUUGUGGUGUUGUGUGGUGGUUUGUUGUGGUGUUGUGUGGUGGGUUGUGGUGUUAUGUGGUGGGUUGUGGUGUUGUGUGGUGGGUUGUGGUGUUGUGUGGUGGUUUGUUGUGGUGUUGUAUGGUGGGUUGUGGUGUUGUGUGGUGGUUUGUUGUGGUGUUGUGUGGUGGGUUGUGGUGUUGUGUGGUGGUUUGUUGUGGUGUUGUGUGGUGGGUUGUGGUGUUGUGUGGUGGUUUGUUGUGGUGUUUUGUGGUGGGUUGUGGUGUUGUGUGGUGGGUUGUGGUGUUGUGUGGUGGGUUGUGGUGUUGUGUGGUGGGUUGUGGUGUUGUGUGGUGGGUUGUGGUGUUAUGUGGUGGUUUGUUGUGAUGGGUUGUGGUGUUGUGUGGUGGGUUGUGGUGUUAUGUGGUGGGUUGUGGUGUUAUAUGGUGGUUUGUUGUGGUGUUUUGUGGUGGGUUGUGAUGUUGUGUGGUGGGUUAUGGUGUUGUGUGGUGUUGUGUGGUGGGUUGUAGUGUUGUGUGGUGGUUUGAUGGUGUUGUGUGGUGGGUUGUGGUGUUAUGUGGUGGUUUGUUGUGGUGGGUUUUGUUGUUUUUGGUGGGUUGUAGUGUUGUGUGGUGGGUUGUUGUGUUAUGUGGUGGGUUGUGGUGUUGUGUGGUGGGUUGUGGUGUUGUGUGGUGGGUUGUGGUGUUGCGUGGUGAGUUGUGGUGUUAUGUGGUGUGGUUGUGGUGUUGUGUGGUGGGUUGUGGUGUUGUGUGGUGGGUUGUGGUGUUGUGUGGUGGGUUGUGGUGUUAUGUGGUGGGUUGUGGUGUUGUGUGGUGGGUUGUGGUGUUGUGUGGUGUGUUGUGGUGUUGUGUGGUGGGUUGUGGUGUUGUGUGGUGGGUUGUGGUGUUGUGUGGUGGUUUGUUGUGGUGUUGUGUAGUGGGUUGUGGUUUUAUGUGGUUUUGUGUGGUGUUGUGUGGUGGGUUGUGGUGUUGUGUGGUGGGUUGUGGUGUUGUGUGGUGGGUUGUGGUGUUGUGUGGUGGGUUGUGGUGUUGUGUGGUGGUUUGUUGUGGUGUUGUGUAGUGGGUUGUGGUUUUAUGUGGUUUUGUGUGGUGUUGUGUGGUGGGUUGUGGUGUUGUGUGGUGGGUUGUGGUGUUGUGUGGUGGUUUGUUGUGGUGUUGUGUAGUGGGUUGUGGUUUUAUGUGGUUUUGUGUUGUGUUGUGGGUUUUGGUUUUGUGUGGUGGGUUGUAGUGUUAUGUGGUGGGUUGUGGUGUUGUGUGGUGGUUUGUUGUGGUGUUGUGUGGUGGUUUGUUGUGGUGUUGUGUGGUGGGUUGUGGUGUUGUGUGGUGGGUUGUGGUGUUGUGUGGUGGGUUGUGGUGUUGUGUGGUGUGUUGUGGUGUUGUGUGGUGGGUUGUGGUGUUGUGUGGUGGGUUGUGGUGUUGUGUGGU